AAGGAGAAUUCAUUAGUUUUUCUU
rnacentral:siRNA from 1 species